CUACAGGAGCCAGAGGUGGUGCUACAGGAGCCAGAGGUGGUACUACAGGAGCCAGAGGUGGUACUACAGGAGCCGGAGGUGGUGCUACAGGAGACAGAGGUGUUGCUCUGUUAGGCUUCGGGGGAAUACUUAUUGCGUACAAAAAACGUUUUGGAGCCAGCGGUGGAACCAUAGAAGUUGAAGGAAAUAACCAUCAAGGAAAUGUUAUUGUUGAGACAGAGCUUUUGUACAGGUGUAGGCAGGCACCAGACAAUCUAGAGGCAGACUGAUGGGACAUUUCUUUAUAUACAGGUCCAUAAAUUGGACAUGUCAGUGUACUGUAUCCCAACGGAAUCUACCUCUUCUAUUGCAAAUAUCUCCCUAUUAAUAGCCAGCUAUUAGAAAAUAUUUUCAAAUACUGUCACAGGUUGGGUGUACUCCCUGAGGUUGCCACUGGAGGGCACCCUUUUGUUAUUUCUUGUGUCCAGGUGAUCCUGAUUGGUCUUAUUGGGUUCACCUGUUGAAUGACUAUUUAGGUUCCUCUGUGGUUUGGGCCGGUUGUUGAGGUCUCUUGUUUUGUUUAGUGUACUCGUAUGCUAUUGCUUUGUUGUUUUGCUGUGAAGACUGAAGUUCACCGUUACCUCUGUGUAACAGAUAUAUAAUGUACUCUCCAUGCGUUGUGUUUUCUCAUAAUAAAUCACUUCGGCCAGUGGUCCCA